UAGGGAAUCUUCCGCAAUGGGCGAAAGCCUGACGGAGCAACGCCGCGUGAGUGAUGAAGGUCUUCGGAUUGUAAAACUCUGUUAUUAGGGAAGAACAAACGAGUAAGUAACUGUGCACGUCUUGACGGUACCUAAUCAGAAAGCCACGGCUAACUACGUGCCAGCAGCCGCGGUAAUACGUAGGUGGCAAGCGUUAUCAGGAAUUAUUGGGCGUAAAGCGCGCGUAGGCGGUUUUUUAAGUCUGAUGUGAAAGCCCACGGCUCAACCGUGGAGGGUCAUUGGAAACUGGAAAACUUGAGUGCAGAAGAGGAAAGUGGAAUUCCAUGUGUAGCGGUGAAAUGCGCAGAGAUAUGGAGGAACACCAGUGGCGAAGGCGACUUUCUGGUCUGUAACUGACGCUGAUGUGCGAAAGCGUGGGGAUCAAACA
rnacentral:rRNA from 1 species